rnacentral:lncRNA from 1 species
UAAAUAUAUAUAUAUAAGAUUUUCCAGCAACGUUCGCAACUGAUAUAUAGAUUUCGCCCCUGCAACAAGAGUGUAACGAUAUUUCUCCUCUCGAGACAGUUAAAACUUAAUAUGCAAAGUGCUAGGCUUGUCGAGCUUUUUAAAUUAUUUAUUUUGAUCUGUUGUGAGUGGAGAAAUAUCGUAAUGCACGAGUUAUAGUGGUGGAAUCUGUUUUCUAAUGAUUUUUGUCCCAUCUUUUUCAAACAUUUGUGGAAAAUUCUGUUCUUUAUAUGUGACGUCAUCAGGCAAAGUCGCCUUUUUUAUGACGUCACAAUAGGAAAUUUUAGAAGAAAUCAAGAAAAUUUGACGUCAUAAUAAUACUUUUGACCAAUCAUUUGCUGAGAAAUAUUUUUCUCACACUAAUCAAAAAAUGUGAAAAUAGCACAAAAUUAGAGAAACACAGUUUUACAUUGAUUAGAUUACAACUUUUAUAUUUUAAUUAUUGAUUGCAUUAUGAUUACACUUAUCUUUUCAUUUCUGUGUAUGAUUUGUUUAAAUUGAUAUGAUACACCAAUACGCAAUCUUUUCGAUAAUUUAAAAUUUGAACAGCAUUUAUUGACAUAUUUUAUCUUUUAUUAUUUUUUUUUACAUGUA